UUCAGCUAACCCUAAUUCUCUCUCGCUCUCUUUCCUCUCCGCCCUCCCUUUCUUCUCCGGCUUCCUUUUUUUCUCUGGUCGCUGUCUGUUAUCAGACCUACUUCGCAACUAAUCAUGUUUAAUCGAUCAUGAUAUGAGUUUCUUCUGAUCAUUGUAGGUAUGGAACAAACAGAAUGUGUGGUCUACGCUUUUCCUAUGUGAAUCAAACGACGUCGUUUUUUCUCUUUAUACUAUUGAAGAGCAUGUUAAUGAUUGCUCUGUUCUUCCGUUCUGCUUUCACUGUAAAUCCAUCGGUAUCUUUGAAACUAAUGUACCUGUUGAAUACGACUUAGCUAAUCAUAACUAUAACGAGCGUCACACUGAAUUACAACCUCUGCCGGUUUAUGUGUUUCUGAUUGAUACUCGUAUGAUUGAGGAGGAGUUAGGGUAUGCUAAAUCAGCAUUACAACAAGCGCUUUAGUUUUUGCCCGAGAAUGCUUUGGUAGGGCUUGUUUCGUUCGGGACUCAAGUUCAAGUUUAUAAGUUAGGGUUUGGUGAUAUGAAUAAGGUUUAUGUUUUCCGUGGAACGAAAGAAAUUGGGAAAGAUCAGGUUUUGGAUCAAUUAGGGUUAGGUGGAGGUGGUAGGAGAAUUGGUGGCGUGCCUGGACAAGGAUUUCAGAAUGGGACUGUAUCGAAUUCUGGUUAUACGAGGUUCUUAUUGCCUGCAUCCAAUGGUGCUUAUAUUAUUCAUCCGCUUUUGGAGGAACUAGGGGCAGAUUAAUGGCCUGUUGCACCUGAUAAUCGAUCUUUAAGGUGCACUGGAAUUGCAUUGAGUGUUGCGGCAGGUUUGCUUGGGGCUUGCUUGCCUGGUACAGGUGCUCAUAUUGUAGCGUUAGUCGGGGGUCCUUACACUGAAGGUCCUGGUUUGAUUGUAUCUAAAGAUCUCUCGGAUCCGGUAACUUAGAAACAUGAUUACACGAGCAGUUUGUAUAGUUACCAGUAAAAUGCAACUAAAGUUUUCUCGCAGUCUUCCAAAGUAUACAUCAUCAGUUGCUCAAAGGAGUUUAAAGGGCUAUUGUGUGCCGUACAUCGAGGUAGCGAAUAUUUAUACCAUAGGAGAUGUUUCAGAGCUUGGGGCAUUUGUCCAAGCAAACCACGAGAAGUUUGAGAAUUUACUUAAGCGGGAAAUGGCUCAAGACAACCAACUGAGCUCGAGUUGCAGCAAGCUUUCCAUCAGGGUAAGCAUAUUGCUACCGUCGCCAAGAAACUCAAGGGAAGCCCGUGAUGUGCAUCUAACUCACUGAAACAAUGUCAAGCUAGAUACAAUUAGGUUACCUAUUACUAACUUGUGGUUGUAUGAAACACAUUGUUUUGAUAUAUAGUACGGUGAUUUAGAAAAUUGUUGGAUUUCAUGGUUUGAAAUUGGUGGUUUGCAGAUUUUCUAGUAAUGGAUACUUUCUUUAAGUUUUUCUUUCA